CGGGCCCCGAGUGGAUGUGGCUUUUUGUUUUAUUGAACAAAAUAGAUUGUGAAACUCCUCCUCAUACCCUGGAAUCGACUUGUUUGUGGAAGGAUGUGGACAAGAGCCGGGAAGCAGCCUGGAAGCUCCUCCUCACCCAUUUAUCAGUCGAUGGGGGUGCUGAAAAACUGAGCCAGUGAAACUCACGCCCACUGAUUUCUACCACGAGGAUCCCAGGCGGAAGUUUUGGUUGCUCUCCUACCUGAAUGGCUGCUAAAAAUAGGACUUAACUCAGCCACCAGCUUGGGUAUAAAAAGGCACCUCCCAGGAGAGCCUGGGGUUCCUCAGUGCCCGUGGCCCAGGAACUCAUCUUGAGCUGUUUCCGAAGGAGCAGAAAUAAUGAUGGAAAGCAACACUCAGGCUCCGGCUGAGGAGAUGCCUCAGUGGGACGUGGGGAGGCAGCCACUGGGCAAGAUCCUCUCUCUGGACAGACGAGAGGCCAAGAAAGUGCUGGAGAUUUAUGUCAAGCGCUCACUGAGCUGCCGUGAAAACUCACUGGUGGCCAAAAAAACCCUUCAGGAGAAAGACAGAGGGCGAGGGAAGAAAAUUGAUGGGCUACAUCGGUCAGAAAGUGAUUUCUGCACGUACUCAUGUGCCAAACCCAGCCCCAGGAAGGACCUGGAGGAGAAACUCAAAGCACCAGACCUGGAGGAGACUUUGGGUGAUGACAGCAAGGCUCCCCAAGAGGUGCCUAAAGAGGGGCUGAAGGCCAAGAGGAAAAGCACAAAAAACUCUUCCCAGGGCAAAACACAACACUGGGGUUCAAAACAAGCCUGGCUGAAAGGUUUCUUAAAUCUUUUCUUGAAGAAGAGCCCUGAGGACCAGAAAGAAAACACAGGGCAAAAAGCAAAGGAGAAAGAUGUCAAAGCUCUUCAGGGCUCCAAACCAGAAGGAGCCAAAAAACACAGAGUGGACUCCAGCACGUCCCCAGCUUUGGGCAGAGCCCUGAAGAAGAAACCCAGCCUCAAGAAGGUUUUCUCCCUGAAGAAGCAUGGUGAGGAGGAGUGGGGAGAGCCGGGAUCCGGGGCGAGGAGCAAGCGCCCCAGCUGCCUUCCCCUGCGGCACGUCCUGGCCCCGGCCCAGCCAGAGGCGGAGCCGCCCGAUGGAUUCUACACCCAGGUGUCCGAGGAGAUCGGGCUGAUCGUGCAGGGCAGCGAGAGCCGGGCGGGCACAGCGGGAGGAUGUGGGGAGCCCCCGCAGCCCCCCGGCACCGACGGCGUGGGUGAGUGCCGGCCUUGGAAACAAACGUGGGGAAAGACUUGUCCCCUGCAGGGCCUGCACGGGAUCCAGCCCUGCUUCAGCCCUGCUCCUGGGGCUUUCGUGCCCCCGAGAGCUGGAUGGAGACUCUGCAGGAGAUUUUCAGCAUCGGGGUUUGACUGGGGGACAGGGAGAUUCACAGAAUUCCAGAAUGGAUUCUGGGUUGGAAAAGACUUUAAAGAACACUUCAUUCCAGCCCCCCUGCCACAGGCAGAGACACCUUCCACAAGACCACAUAAAAAACAAAAUUCAGGGGUAAGAGAGUAUUUUUGCUGGCUGAGGGCAACAAAGGUAACAAGGCACGUGGCAAUAGGUUGA
rnacentral:lncRNA from 1 species